AGCCAGCCUUCUCCAGUGAGAGUGCCCAGAGUCUCUCCUGUCUAGGGACCCCUGGGUGGCUAGUCGAGAGAGCAGGGCCACAUGUGGGAGGGUGCCCUUGUGGUCCUGACUCCAGGCCUGUGCCUCCUUCACCACAGGCACCUGGGACUAGCUGUCCCCUACGCCCGCAACCACCGCAUUGGCCACCCCUCCUCAUUCCCCUGCCACACAUUCCAGCACUGGCCUUGUGCUACCAACCUCAGAGGAGACAAACAUGAAGAAGAGGCAUCUUUUGUCCUUAAGCCACCAGACUUAUGUGGGGAAAGAGGAGAGGCUGAGUCGAGCACACAGAUAACUCCAACACAAAGGAUCUGGCAAGCGCCAUAAGAAUUGUGUCUAAAAUGAAGGGGAUUAAAGAUUACACCUGGCUGUCAUGGAUUCUAUGAAGAUAAGAACAGUCCAGUAAGCAACUAAGCCUGUGCACCACAACCAUUGAACCUGUGCUCUAGAGUCUGGGAAUCACAACUACUGAG
ensembl:lncRNA